rnacentral:lncRNA from 1 species
UAGAAAUGUACAUGUCGCUUAUAAAUUUAACAAUAAUUCUAAUUAUAUCAGUCUCAACACACGUAUACAAAAAUUUAAAUCUUGCUUCUUCAUUAGUCAUAUUUAAAAAAGAGGGAACUAUUUCACUAAUUUUGGAAAACAGUUGGUCUCUAAUUAUAUUUAGUUUUGUACAUUUUAAAGUGAAAUGAAAUUCAUCUUCUACUUCUAAGAGGCACAAAGGACAAAUUCUUUCUUCUACAGGGGUUUUAGUUUGACGCCCUUGUUCAAUUCUAAGAACACUAUUACUAAUACGAAUUUUAGCAAAAUGCCCUAUUACUUUUCUGUCUAUAUUUAACAAUAAAUAGGUUUCCAAUUUAUAAUUUUC